AUUUUUAAUUGAAAUCUAGAAUGAAAGGUUAAAUGAAAUAUAUUCUGUUUUUUUAAAAAUUUUCGAAUUUUUUUUUUUAGUUAAAAAACUAAAAUAAUAUUAAGGGACGAGAAGACCCUAUAGAUUUUUAUAAUUAUUAUAAAUAAUAAAAAAAAUAAAAGUUUAUUUUUAAAUAUAAAAUUAUUUUAUUGGGGAAAUAUUAAAAUAUAAAAAACUUUAAUUUUAUUUUUAUUAUUAUAAUAAAAUAAAAGAUCCAUUUUUUUUGAUUAUAAAUUUAAAUUACCUUAGGGAUAACAGCAUAAUUUUUUUAUAAAGAUCAUAUUAAUAAAAAAGAUUAU
rnacentral:rRNA from 1 species